rnacentral:rRNA from 1 species
UACGUAGGGCGCAAGCGUUGUCCGGAAUUAUUGGGCGUAAAGAGCUCGUAGGUGGCUUGUCGCGUCUGCCGUGAAAGCCCAUGGCUUAACUGCGGGUCUGCGGUGGAUACGGGCUGGCUAGAGGUAGGUAGGGGCAAGCGGAAUUCCUGGUGUAGCGGUGAAAUGCGCAGAUAUCAGGAGGAACACCGGUGGCGAAGGCGGCUUGCUGGGCCUUACCUGACGCUGAGGAGCGAAAGCGUGGGGAGCGAACAGG